GUUGGCAUAGGGAUGAUUGGGAUGAUGCUGUAGCUUUAAGUCUUUGACAGAAAACUAGGAGGGCUGAUUGUCUGUAAUGUAUAAUUUGAAUAAAGAAAUUCUCUUUACAAGUUGGUAUUAUAUUAAAUCCAGUAACUUACUAAGAGCCAUUAUGGAACUAAAUUUAUAAGGAUAAAAAAUGUGAACAUAAUAAUAAACACUUUGUAGACAAAUGAAAUGUCAAUGAACAACUUUAGUUCAACUUACUUGUGG
rnacentral:lncRNA from 1 species